UUGAUUGAAACCAAAAAGAGGUAUAUCACUGUUAAUGAUAAAAUUGAGUCUUCUCCAAUUAAA
rnacentral:tRNA from 1 species